UGAGAUGUUGGGUUAAGUCCCGCAACGAGCGCAACCUCGUGUUUAGUUGCCAGCAGUUCGGCUGGCACUCUAAAGGGACUGCCGGUGUUAAACCGGAGGAAGUGGGGAUGACGUCAAGUCCUCAUGGCCUUUAUGACCAGGGCUACACACGUACUACAAUGGCCGAUACAAAGGGCAGCGACACUGCGAGGUGAAGCCAAUCCCGUAAAAUCGGUCUCAGUCCGGAUUGGAGUCUGCAACUCGACUCCAUGAAGUUGGAAUCGCUAGUAAUCGUGGAUCAGCAUGCCACGGUGAAUACGUUCCCGGGCCUU
rnacentral:rRNA from 1 species